rnacentral:rRNA from 1 species
UACGGAGGAUGCAAGUGUUAUCCGGAAUCACUGGGCGUAAGCGUCUGUAGGUGGUCAAAUAAGUCAACUGUUAAAUCUUGAGGCUCAACCUCAAAAUCGCAGUCGAAACUAUUCGACUAGAGUAUAGUAGGGGUAAAGGGAAUUUCCAGUGGAGCGGUGAAAUGCGUAGAGAUUGGAAAGAACACCGAUGGCGAAGGCACUUUACUGGGCUAUUACUAACACUGAGAGACGAAAGCUAGGGUAGCAAAUGGG